rnacentral:rRNA from 1 species
GAUGAACGCUGGCGGCGUGCUUAACACAUGCAAGUCGAACGGUGAAGCAGGAGCUUGCUCUUGUGGAUCAGUGGCGAACGGGUGAGUAACACGUGAGCAACCUGCCCUUGACUCUGGGAUAAGCGCUGGAAACGGCGUCUAAUACUGGAUAUGUGAUGUGACCGCAGGGUCUGCCUCUGGAAAGAAUUUCGGUUGGGGAUGGGCUCGCGGCCUAUCAGGUUGUUGGUGAGGUAAUGGCUCACCAAGGCGUCGACGGGUAGCCGGCCUGAGAGGGUGACCGGCCACACUGGGACUGGGACACGGCCCAGACUCCUACGGGAGGCAGCAGUGGGGAAUAUUGCACAAUGGGCGGAAGCCUGAUGCAGCAACGCCGCGUGAGGGAUGACGGCCUUCGGGUUGUAAACCUCUUUUAGCAGGGAAGAAGCGAAAGUGACGGUACCUGCAGAAAAAGCACCGGCUAACUACGUGCCAGCCGCCGCCGUAA